rnacentral:rRNA from 1 species
CAGGCCUAACACAUGCAAGCCGGGCGGUAGCACAGGAGAGCUUGCUCUCUGGGUGACGAGCGGCGGACGGGUGAGUAAUGUCUGGGAAACUGCCUGAUGGAGGGGGAUAACUACUGGAAACGGUAGCUAAUACCGCAUAACGUCGCAAGACCAAAGUGGGGGACCUUCGGGCCUCAUGCCAUCAGAUGUGCCCAGAUGGGAUUAGCUAGUAGGUGAGGUAAUGGCUCACCUAGGCGACGAUCCCUAGCUGGUCUGAGAGGAUGACCAGCCACACUGGAACUGAGACACGGUCCAGACUCCUACGGGAGGCAGCAGUGGGGAAUAUUGCACAAUGGGCGCAAGCCUGAUGCAGCCAUGCCGCGUGUAUGAAGAAGGCCUUCGGGUUGUAAAGUACUUUCAGCGAGGAGGAAGGCGAUAAGGUUAAUAACCUUGUCGAUUGACGUUACUCGCAGAAGAAGCACCGGCUAACUCCGUGCCAGCAGCCGCGGUAAU